GUUAUCGGAAUAACUCUUAAUAUGUUAUGUUAACAUACCAGACACGUUCUCAGUUGUCAUGUAGUCUAAGCAUACCAUUCAGCCUCUCCAUCCUAAAAAAGUUCUAUAGAACAGUUCUAAAGAAUUUCCAUUGAAACAUUCUACAGAAAUUCUGUAGAACUUUAGGACCCAGGUUCUACAGAAAUUCUAUAUAAGUUCUAUAGACAUUGUUCUAUACAACUUUGUUGUGAAGUUCUACAGAACUGUUCUAAAGAACUGAAACAAGAUUGCUUGUACAUUGUAUUUGUAAAUUGCAUUGUGACAAUCUUACAUACAAUCAACGUUGCCUUAGAAAAUAGAAAAAACAUUGCCAUGCUCCAUGGAAAAUGAGUCAUUAAAAAAAAAACAUUCUAAAUUGAAACCUUUAUUAUGCAGUGUGAAACCAGUCUGUUUUUUUUUUAAAUCAAACUACAGACAAUUCCAAACAAUUAAGGUUGCCAUGCCACGUGAAGCAAUGGAGCAAUUGAUAAUAAUUGGCUUGAGUGAACAGGGUUCAUGUGUUGAGCUGACCCCCAGAACCAACUCUUAGUUCAGACACUAGAUGUCGCCAAACCAAAUUAUACUUUAACCGGGUCAAAUAAACAUUCUCCCACAAAUUCUUACCACAAUACAUAUACAUACCAAAGUCAGUAACCUUAAAACCUGAUUGAUUUUAUAUCUUUGUAUUCACAUCUUUGUUUUAUUAUAAAGAUAUCAGCAGGAUGAAUUUCAGCAGCUGUUCACACCCUGCGGUUUGUAGCGGCAAGAACGCUGAAGCAAACAGGAUGUUUGCGAGCACCAAACAGGAUGCUUGCAACACCCUUGAAUUUCCAAACAGGAUGCUUGUAACACCAUUGAAUUGCCAAACAGGAUCCUUGCAGCACCCCUUGAAUUGCCAAAUAGGAUGUUUGGAAGCUCUGAUCCUACCUUUUUCUUUAAUACAGUUUUAACAUUCUUUUUAUCUCUCUUAUAUUGAAGUAGAUGAUGCUGUGUAACUGCUUUGUGUAAAGGAUAUAACCUGUGUAUGACUGUCUCUCUCAGACAAGGCAACACACGAUGUGUGACCAACAAGAAAAAGCCUGUUGAAUGCAUGAGGAAAUUGUAUUCACAAGAAUAUUUAUACAUUUAUUGCUUAUUGCUUGGAAAUUAAAAUGAAUGUAAAGAAAGAUAGUAACUGCAUCUACCAGGUAAAAAUAUUGCUUAUUGUUAAGAGAUUAAUGUUAUGGAAAGUAAUGGUUGCAUUUGCGGCCACCUUUGCCCUAUUUUGGGUGAGCUGAAAAGGGGCAUAUCAAGACAUCACAGGGAUGGCGAAAUGUACUCAACAUCAAAACAAAGAGUACUUCCCACUGGGCGUAGUAAAGCCAAAAACAUUCUAGAAUGUUCUCCCAAAAAGCUAUAAAAGCCUUGUACACGGAAGUACGAGGCUCUCUGUUCGUUUCUCACAGACAGGGAGACAAAAGGUCCUUCUUUUUGGGUAAUAUCAGAGGAAAAUGCUGACGGGAGGAAAUCUUCAAGCAAUUUAAGAUGCUUAUUUUGAUUUCUUCUUCUUCUCUUUGAUUGGGCACAAGUAAAAAGACUACCAUAAUAAGGUAUCCUUGGCCCUCUCUCAUUGGUCUCCUUUGGUCCGCUGGAUGUUGGCCCAACUCCUCCCCUGCAGAAUCGCGUGCUGGCUCCUCCUGGUGGUGGUUUCCUGACAGUAGUUUUCCCACCAACUGCCUCUUGAGUCCUCUGUCUCCGCACCCUCCUUGCAGUUAGCACCGUCUGUUCUAAAACAUUCCAUUCUUGGACCACAUACCCUGUUUCGUUUCACCAGUCACACACUCAGCACUUUACAGUCUCAUACUUUCUUACACAGGAUGCAGCAACAUCUAAUGAACUACUUUAAGCUCAAACUCUUAUAUUCCUUUAACGUUGACAGCUGGUUUCCGAUUUUUCAAGAUGUAGGCUUUAUAAUAGUGGCUUGUCUGAUAUGACUUGCCCUAUUUUGAAAUCUCCAUAUUCAUUAAAGUAUUUAUAUAUUGUAACAAAUACUUGAUGCAUUUUAUUAUCCGACUUCAGAAUGUGUAUGAACGCUGGUGUUGCUUGAAAAUUGUUCUAAAGAAAUUAUAUUCUGUACAAAUUCUAUAGAAAUUUGAGAUCAAGCACUGUCCCCCUUUCUGUUCUUCAAACCUUUCUAUACAAUUUCUACAGUUGUUCUAUAGAAAUUCUAUAGAAAGUCACAGCCAAAGGUCUAUAGGACAAGUUGUUCUAUACAAAUUCUUUAGAAGUCUAUAGAUUUCUAUAGAAAGUUUUUAGCAGGGGUUGUUGCCUCUAUUCUAUUUUUAUUUAAAAUUGUUUGUCAUUAAAUUUUAAAUGAUGCAUCUGUUUUUGGGGUUGGAUUUUAUCAAAUAAAUUUCCCCCAAAAGUGCGACUUAUAUAUGUUUUUUUCUCAUUUCUUAUAGAUUUUAUGGCUGGUGCAACUUGUACUCCGGAGCGACGUACAUACCGGAAAAUAUGGAAUCUUGUUUUGAAAUGUACAUGAAACAUGAGAGGAAGAGGGGGAAAUAUGACAAAGUGCCUCGACAACAAAGGGUGCAGCUGACCACAACUGAGGACACCCCAAACUCAGCAGGUGGUACAGAGCAUGUAAAUCCAAUCAAAUUCGUAGCUGCUGAGAGAUUUUCAGAACGAGUGGGGCCAAUGUUCACUGCCACUCCAGCCAACCAAACCACAUGUAAAGCACUAACAUAAAGCACUAACAUACACCACGUGCUACAGAGUAGAAAUUACUCUCAACCAAAAGGUGGUGGCCACUGAGCGGUCCAAUUUUUUUAUAUCCUUUGUAUGAUGAAAAUUACAGGUAGACCUGAUUAUUACAUUGUCCACGUAAUCGUGCGAGUUGCCCAUAUCUGGAGCAGACAGUAUGUAUUCAUCCUGUAACAUGUGUUAGGUGUUCUAAAUUGUAAAAAAUCUAGGUGUGUAUCUCUGCUCAGUGUGUCGCUGGCUUCAUUGCUCAUGUUGAGGAGACGUACUGAGAUUCUUUAGCAUUCUCCGGGCUCCAGGCCUUUUAGCUGGUACCAAUGUUCCCUCUAAACUGCGCACACUCUCAGUGCAGAGGAAAUAUAUUUUUUUUAAUCGUGGCAGCACACUGCCUCUCACAAAGAGCUACUGCUCGGCCACACCACUGACCUACAAAAAAAAAAAAAAAAAAAAAAAAAAGACUGGAUAGCCCAUACACAUCAGCAGUGUGUCAAUUGGUUGAAGCCGCCAUCUUGGUCCUCCCAAAACAUCCGGAUGACAAAGUUUAUAGGGUGGAUUAUGGCGGGGGUUUUCUCAAAUUUUGCAUGUAGAAUUAAAACUGGUCGUGUGAGCUUCACAUUUCUUCAGUUCUGGUAACAUGAAGGAUUUUUUUAUUCGACUUGGUAAGCCAAAAAAGGCUAAGUGCAAAGGAAAGACAUAUAACACCUAAAGGAAUAUAAGAGUUUGAGCUUAAAGUGGUUCAUUGGAUGUUGCUACAUCCUGUGUAAGAAAGUGUGAGACUGUAAAGUGCUGAGUGUGUGACUGGUGGAACGAAACAGGGUAUGUGGUGCAAGAAUGGAAUGUUUUAGAACUGACGGUGCUAACUGCAAGGAGGAUGCGGAGACGAGAGGACUCAGAGACAGUUGGUGGAAAAACUACUGUCAGGAAACCACCACCAGGAGCCAGCACGCGAUUCUGCAGGGGAGGAGUCGGGCCAACAUCCGGCGGACCAAAGGAGACCAAUUAGAGAGCCCCAAGGAUACCUACAGUAGACACAGAACCAAUAGUGAAUUAGUAGAUUGUACUUUAAAAUUGUUCUGGGAAACUCAGAUGUAGAGUACGUCUGCUGGUGGCAACAGAGACGUACAGGGUUGUAAUGAGAGGGACCCGAGACCCAGGUGUUUGUUGAAGGAAUAAAUCCACUCGUGUGUGAAAAUGACGGCUUCCUCAUACCUUUCUAUUGCAGAACGAGCGCGCGUAUUGUUGGAUGAGUGGCAGUUGGGUAAUGUCACAAAUUGGAGUCAGAUUACUAACUUAAGUUUAUGAUGAUUUAGAAAUAAAUUUCCAACACACCGUGACUACAAAGAAACCUUGCAUAUUACCUAGGGUCCAAUUUCCGUGACAUGUUAACUUUUUCCAAAAUACGCUGUGAAGCACUAUCAUCAUAACAUAGCUAAACACUAAGUGCAGCCGUUGAGCCGCGCGUGUUAUGUCAUUUUCAUUUUUUUUUUAAAGUAAGCAUUUUUUGUCAUAAAAACAUUAAAUUUGACAUCAAUCAGCUAGAUAUAUUUUUGGAAAUAAGGACUCACAAUGGGAAAAUACAUGCUAAACGCAUUGUUCAUUUGUUGUCUCUGCGAUGUCCAAUUUCAGACAGACAAUUUAAACUUAUUUCCUCGGAUCUGAAAAUCAAAUUCAAUUUGCAGAGUUCUGUAUUAUGAAAUUCAUCAAAAAAAUUUGUUUUCUUGCUUAUCCACUGAUGAAGUCUAGGAAAAUAUUUACAUCGUUUUUUCACGAAAAACCAUCGGCCUAUAAAGGUGACGCAGAGAGUGAACAGUGAACAACAACCAUGAACAAAACUGCUCAAGUGAAUUAAGAUCAUCAGAAAGUAAAAAACCCUGAACAAACAAACUUUAACA